AACGAACGCUGGCGGCAUGCCUAACACAUGCAAGUCGAAUGAGACCUUCGGGUCUAGUGGCGCACGGGUGCGUAACGCGUGGGAACCUGCCCUUAGGUUCGGAAUAACUCCCCGAAAGGGGUGCUAAUACCGGAUAAUGUCUUCGGACCAAAGAUUUAUCGCCUUUGGAUGGGCCCGCGUUGGAUUAGCUAGUUGGUAGGGUAAAAGCCUACCAAGGCGACGAUCCAUAGCUGGUCUGAGAGGAUGAUCAGCCACACUGGGACUGAGACACGGCCCAGACUCCUACGGGAGGCAGCAGUGGGGAAUAUUGGACAAUGGGCGAAAGCCUGAUCCAGCAAUGCCGCGUGAGUGAUGAAGGCCUUAGGGUUGUAAAGCUCUUUUACCCGGGAUGAUAAUGACGGUACCGGGAGAAUAAGCUCCGGCUAACUCCGUG
rnacentral:rRNA from 1 species